rnacentral:lncRNA from 1 species
ACCUGAGUUCUAAAUUUAUUUCUCAAAGAAGCCAAGCUCCUGAGAGAGAAAUGAUACUGUAAGAGUAUCUGCCUGGAAACCCUGUUGCCUGGAGACCACUCUUGAAGAACAUCCACUGCUGUGGCCUCUUAAAGAUUUAAGACAUCUAAUGAACAGCUGACAGAAAUCAUCAAUUUGCUCCUCAUUUCAGUGUCAAAUCAUGAUGCAACAGCAGAGUGAACUCAGUGUUUUUGGUAUGAAGAUCUCCAUGUGUUUCCAUCAUCAGCAUCUCCUGUGCUCUUAAUCUUACCCUGGACACCUGACCCAGGUGCCCAUUCUGUGAAUUCUUUCAUUGUAGGAAAGAGAAACAGAUGUUGACACCAUGCUCUUGGACUUCCCAGCUUCCAGAAUCAUGAGCCAAAUAAACCUCUUUUCUUUAUAAA